rnacentral:rRNA from 1 species
UGAGCCAAGUUUAGGGUUUUCUCAAAACCCAAGCAGUAUUGAACUGAAGAGUUUGAUCAUGGCUCAGAUUGAACGCUGGCGGCAGGCCUAACACAUGCAAGUCGAGCGGAUGAAGGGAGCUUGCUCCCUGAUUCAG